rnacentral:snRNA from 1 species
AGACUCUGGGCCAAUGACGGGCCAUAACUGUCUACAGUCAACGUAGAGCUUUUGCACUUCAGUAGAGAGAACGUCUGCGAACUCCCCAAAUGUGGGAAUCUCGACUGCAUAAUUUGUGAUAGUGGGGGACUGCGUUCGCGCUCUCCCCUG